rnacentral:rRNA from 1 species
AUGUUUGACCGGUCUUUGGUCCAUGUGGCAAUAUUUCUCUUUCCUUUCAUCUAUCUAAAGUGUGUACAUUUCAUCGAGCACAUAGCAUGCAAUGUCUGCAUGUACACAGUCGUGCUUGCUGCAGCUUGCCACGACCGAUUAUCACCAACGACUGACAAGUCACGCCCCAUUUUGGGCUGCCCUGCGCGCCUCGCCGCACCACACCUCCCCGGCCACCUCAGCGACGUGUACAUGAGGCCGCGCAUGCAUGGUACAUUUUUUUUUUUUGACGAGUACAUGCAUGGUACAUUGGUACAAGCUCCAGAUGUUGAAGAUGCUCCUGAUAGCAGCCCAGGCAUGAUUGCACGAACGUGGAGGGGCGGGGGUCAUGCUUGUGGGUGGAUAUGA